GUCCCAAUAGCCCAGUGGGUAGUGCUUUAGACUUGUAUUCCAAAGGUCGUGGGUUCGAAUCCCACCUGGGAUG